rnacentral:tRNA from 1 species
GGAAAUGUGGCUUAGUGGUAGAGUGCUUGCCUAGCAUGCAUGAAGCCCUGAGUUUGAUCCUUAGUACCA